GGGGGGGUGGGACACACACAGAGACCCUGCCCCCCCCAAUCCCUUUGCUAUUGCUUGUUCUGGAAAAGCAGCAAAACAGGAGGAAAAGCAGUGAUUUGGGGUGAGACACAGGCGCUGCUACACCGCAGAAAACACACGUUGGUUUAUUAUGGCCGCUGUGGAGGAGGCACGAGAGCAGGUUGAAGAGUGUGCAGAAGGUGGGUUGUACCAUUAUCCCACGGGACAAUACUGAUCUCAGUGUCCCAGAUUUGAUUUCUUGGGGUUCCUGUGUCCUCUCACUGUCCCACACUCCAUUCUCAGCUCAAGGCAUUUGUACCACACCAGAGACUGCUGCCA